GACGAACGCUGGCGGCGUGCUUAACACAUGCAAGUCGAACGGAAAGGCCCUGCUUUUGUGGGGUGCUCGAGUGGCGAACGGGUGAGUAACACGUGAGUAACCUGCCCUUGACUUUGGGAUAACUUCAGGAAACUGGGGCUAAUACCGGAUAGGAGCUCCUGCUGCAUGGUGGGGGUUGGAAAGUUUCGGCGGUUGGGGAUGGACUCGCGGCUUAUCAGCUUGUUGGUGGGGUAGUGGCUUACCAAGGCUUUGACGGGUAGCCGGCCUGAGAGGGUGACCGGCCACAUUGGGAAUGAGAUACGGGCCAGACUCCUACGGGAGGCAGCAGUGGGGAAUAUUGCACAAUGGGCGGAAGCCUGAUGCAGCAACGCCGCGUGCGGGAUGACGGCCUUCGGGUUGUAAACCGCUUUCGCCUGUGACGAAGCGUGAGUGACGGUAAUGGGUAAAGAAGCACCGGCUAACUACGUG
rnacentral:rRNA from 1 species